AAGCGUCAAAACAAAAUAAAACAAUUAUUAAGAAAAUAAGUAGGUGAUAAAUUUUAUUUGAAAAAACUGAAAAAAAUCGUUUCCAAAUUAUUAUCAAUCUACUGAACACGGUUUGUUAACAGUUGAUAAGGUUUUAAAUGAUAAUAAUAUUGAUGCAUAUAUUGCGAUAGUGGAGGGGGCUGGUUAAAUGAGCCGACCAUGACACGUUUUCAAAUUACGCUGACCGUUCUGCGCAUGCGCUAGUGACAUAUCAUAAAUUGAAAUCUCUUAUCUGUUAUCAGGUAUCAGGUUAUCAGCUGUACAAGUUGUUUACAAUGAGUAAUUAGUAAUUACAACCAUUUAAUAAUUAUUAAUCGUUUAAUUAUGUUUAAUAUUGAUUUUACUUAAGUUAUCUUAUAAUAUAAUAUAAUACAUUUUAAAGUAUUGUGGUAAAAGAGCAUUUGGAUACAUAGAUUUAUGUAAUAAAAUAAUAGUGUAAGAUGGAAGCCAAACUCAAUAUAAAUUGGGCAAUUGAUGACAAUUUCAACAACGAUAUUCAAGACAACAUGCAAUGGAUGAUUGGACGCUGUCUGCUUUUUUUUUUUUUAAUUGUAAUGUAAUACAUAAAAAAUAAUUAAGUAAUAAUAAUAAUAAUCAGUCAUGUAUAAAUUAUUAUUAUUAUAAUUUGUAGAAAAAAAGUUAUUUAGAGGAAUUAUUUUCUUAUUAGGUGAGAUCUUUGUUUAUUUUGAACUCUUUACUUGGUGCAGAUUGUUUUUGUUAUUAGAAUAAAUUAAUUAUUACAUAUUAGUAAAAUGUUUUAAGUAAAGCGCAUAAUAAAAUAUUAUUUUAUAUAA